AGGGCAAGCGCUGGGGAGAGUCAGCUCAGGAGACCACAGACCUCACUGCUAUUAGACUCUCUCAUCUCAGAACUCCUGCUGCUUGGAGUCCGAACGCAUGUUCACUCUGCCUUGAAGCAACAGCUACUCUCUAAGCCUCGUCUCCAUACAACUCUUCAUGACAGGGACUUUUCCCUGACUUCUUAUAUAUCCCCUCUGCCCAUCAGCAGCUGGGAGAUGCCAUUUACACAGAGAGAAGUAUAACUAAUGCAUGGCCAUCUUCAACUGACUGGCUGACUUCAGCUGCGGGCACCCCCCAUGCCCAUCCUGACCCCAGUGCCCACACCUCCAGAGGACCCAGGCACAAAACCCUCAUCCCAUCACCUUCUCGCCCAUAAGCCCCAGGGGCCCAGGGUCUCCAGUCGGUCCACUGCGUCCCUUUGGCCCCUCAGGACCAUCCUCUCCCCUGGAACCAGGGACUCCAACCUCGCCCUGUGUGAGAGGGAAGGACAGGGGUCAGGCUCCCAAGAGAACACAGCACUGGAACUGCAGAGUCUGGAGACUCAGGAGAAUAAACUGUUGCUUGGGGUCUCCAGAGUGGAAGCUCAGUAGGACACGGAAUUGGGGCCAGUGUGGAAUCUCUACUCACCCUGUCACCUUUCACGCCUAUGUCACCUUUGAACCCUGGAAAGCCAUCCUCGCCCUGAGAAAGAUAGAGCAGGUUCCAAAACCCAAGAGACAACUCACUGGGAGCAUGAGAGAUGUGCCAGGAGGACCAGGAGCCCCAUCUGAUCCAGGGAGCCCUGCUCGGCCAGGAGGGCCCUGGAGUGGGAAGAGAAUGCAAAAUAUGGGGUGACAGAUAAGGGAACAUCAAGAUCUUAGCACGAUUUUGAAACAUCCUCUUCAACAGAA